GAUGAAGAACGCAGCGAAAUGCGAUACGUAAUGUGAAUUGCAGAAUUCAGUGAAUCAUCGAGUCUUUGAACGCACAUUGCGCCCCCUGGUAUUCCGGGGGGCAUGCCUGUCCGAGCGUCAUUGCUGCCCUCAAGCACGGCUUGUGUGUUGGGCCUCCGUCCUCCUCCCGGGGGACGGGCCCGAAAGGCAGCGGCGGCACCGCGUCCGGUCCUCGAGCGUAUGGGGCUUCGUCACCCGCUCUUGUAGGCCCGGCCGGCGCUUGCCGACACAUCAAUCUUUUUUCCAGGUUGACCUCGGAUCAGGUAGGGAUACCCGCUGAAUUUAAGCAUAUCAAUAAGCGGAGGA
rnacentral:misc_RNA from 1 species